rnacentral:rRNA from 1 species
UGCGGAGGAAAAGAAACUAACAAGGAUUCCCCUAGUAGCGGCGAGCGAAGCGGGAAGAGCUCAAAUUUAUAAUCUGGCACCUUCGGUGUCCGAGUUGUAAUCUCUAGAAAUGUUUUCCGCGUUGGACCGCACACAAGUCUGUUGGAAUACAGCGGCAUAGUGGUGAGACCCCCGUAUAUGGUGCGGACGCCCAGCGCUUUGUGAUACAUUUUCGAAGAGUCGAGUUGUUUGGGAAUGCAGCUCAAAUUGGGUGGUAAAUUCCAUCUAAAGCUAAAUAUUGGCGAGAGACCGAUAGCGAACAAGUACCGUGAGGGAAAGAUGAAAAGCACUUUGGAAAGAGAGUUAACAGUACGUGAAAUUGUUGGAAGGGAAACGCUUGAAGUCAGACUUGCUUGCCGAGCAAUCGGUUUGCAGGCCAGCAUCAGUUUUCCGGGAUGGAUAAUGGUAGAGAGAAGGUAGCAGUUUCGGCUGUGUUAUAGCUCUCUGCUGGAUACAUCUUGGGGGACUGAGGAACGCAGUGUGCCUUUGGCGGGGGUUUCGACCUCUUCACACUUAGGAUGCUGGUGGAAUGGCUUUAAACGACCCGUCUUGAACACACGAACCAA